rnacentral:rRNA from 1 species
GACGAACGCUGGCGGCGUGCCUAAUACAUGCCAGUUGAGCGCUGAAGGUUGGUACUUGUACCAACUGGAUGAGCAGCGAACGGGUGAGUAACGCGUGGGGAAUCUGCCUUUGAGCGGGGGACAACAUUUGGAAACGAAUGCUAAUACCGCAUAAAAACUUUAAACACAAGUUUUAAGUUUGAAAGAUGCAAUUGCAUCACUCAAAGAUGAUCCCGCGUUGUAUUAGCUAGUUGGUGAGGUAAAGGCUCACCAAGGCGAUGAUACAUAGCCGACCUGAGAGGGUGAUCGGCCACAUUGGGACUGAGACACGGCCCAAACUCCUACGGGAGGCAGCAGUAGGGAAUCUUCGGCAAUGGACGAAAGUCUGACCGAGCAACGCCGCGUGAGUGAAGAAGGGUGUCGGAUCGUAAAACUCUGUUGGUAGAGAAGAACGUUGGUGAGAGUGGAAAGCUCAUCAAGUGACGGUAACUACCCAGAAAGGGACGGCUAACUACGUG